UAGUAAAAGGGUUUACCCAUAAAUAAAUUUACAAUUUAUCACUUAAAAUUUCAGUCAUUUUACC
rnacentral:tRNA from 1 species